rnacentral:other from 1 species
UAUUGUCUGGAAGAUACGAUGGCAAAUUUGAAAAACCUACUAAUUUAACGAAUUGGGAAUCUAAUUUAUGAGUGGUGUUGAAUACCUAAUUUUGUUUAGGGAUCCUAAAAUUUGUAAUGUGAUGCCCACCUAGGAGACUAGGUUUUUAUCGUUAAUGCUGUCGUUCUUUUGGAUAAUUG